rnacentral:rRNA from 1 species
UUGCACAGGUGCUGCAUGGCUGUCGUCAGCUCGUGUCGUGAGAUGUUCGGUUAAGUCCGCUAACGAGCGCAACCCUCGCUGUGUGUUAUAUGUGUCACACGGGACGUGCCGGUCUUAAGCCGGAGGAAGGUGGGGAUGAUGUCAAGUCAGCAUGGCCUUUAUAUCCUGGGCUACACACACGCUACAAUGGCCAACACAAUAGGUUGCUAAGCCGCGAGGUGGCGCCAAUCCAUAAAGUUGGUCUCAGUUCAGAUUGUAGGCUGCAACCCGCCUGCAUGAAGAUGGAGUUGCUAGUAACCGCAGGUCAGCUAUACUGCGGUGAAUACGUUCCCGGGGCUU